GUGGGGAAUUUUGGACAAUGGGCGCAAGCCUGAUCCAGCCAUGCCGCGUGCAGGAUGAAGGCCUUCGGGUUGUAAACUGCUUUUGUACGGAACGAAAAGACUCUGGUUAAUACCUGGGGUCCAUGACGGUACCGUAAGAAUAAGCACCGGCUAACUACGUGCCAGCAGCCGCGGUAAUACGUAGGGUGCGAGCGUUAAUCGGAAUUACUGGGCGUAAAGCGUGCGCAGGCGGUUAUAUAAGACAGAUGUGAAAUCCCCGGGCUCAACCUGGGAACUGCAUUUGUGACUGUAUAGCUAGAGUACGGUAGAGGGGGAUGGAAUUCCGCGUGUAGCAGUGAAAUGCGUAGAUAUGCGGAGGAACACCGAUGGCGAAGGCAAUCCCCUGGACCUGUACUGACGCUCAUGCACGAAAGCGUGGGGAGCAAACAGGAUCAGAAACCCUUGUAGUCC
rnacentral:rRNA from 1 species